AUGAAACUCAAGAUCCCAGACAAGAAACUUAAAGAUUUAUCACAAAACCUACCAGUUGAUGCUUCUGGGAGGACUAAUCUACAUCAACUGAUAAAAGAAGUAAAGAAGUUUACAGGAGGAGAAAUUGAAGCCAAAGACAUACAAAAAGUACUCAGAAAUAUGGGGAUAGAACUCACAAAUAGGGAACUUUGGGAGCUGCUGAAAAUGUUGCCAGUUACCGAUGAUGGAAAAGUAUAUAAAAAUAUAUUGCUUGAUAAUAUAAAAACAUCUCCUGUUGGGAAAUUCCAUGUCUCUAAAAUGAAUGCCAUCCUAGAAGAUAUGGAUUAUGAACUAGAGGAUGAAGAGGUUGAGGACCUGAGGAACCACCUGCCAACUGCUGAUGAAAAGAUUAAGCUGAAUACGAUGAUGAAAGAUGUAGAAUUAUUUACAGGAACCAAGACUAAUGUUAAUGAGAUAGAUGCUGUUUUGAAAAGCAUGGGAAUAGAGCUCACUCCUAAGGAACGCUGGGAGCUGCUAAAGACUCUGCCGGUUACUGCCGACGGAAAGGUGUAUCACAAUCGAUUACUAAACGCUUUAAAGAAUUUCCACAGAGGGAAGGCUUUUGAAAAUAAACUUGAAACUAUUCUGGAAAACAUGAACUAUGAACUUGGAGAAAAAGAAAUGAAAGAUUUACAGAACCACUUGAAAACUGAUGAUAAAGGAAGAGUUUCCCUGAAUUCUUUGAUAAAUGCAGCCAAUUUGUUUUCUGGUAAUAAGAUUAAUGCCAGUGACACACAACUUUACCUGAAAAAUAUAGGUAUUGAAUUAACAAAUAAUGAAAACCAGGAACUACUAGACACACUGCCACUGGAUGAUAAUAAAAGAGUGUAUGCAAACAGACUGAUGGAGGGGGUGAAGACCUAUGGAGGAGGACAGGUCAAUGUCAAUAAAAUAGAUGAUACUCUUGAAAACAUGGGAUUUUCACUUGAAGAAAAAGAAAUUGAGGAAUUGUAUAGUCACCUUCCAAUUAAUGAUGAAGGAAAAAUUCAACUGAAAUCACUUCUGGAUGAAGCAAAUAAAAUUUUAGGAGAAGAAAUUGACCGUGGUGACCUGGAAAAUGUUCUGCAAAGCAUAGGCUUAAGUCCCCACCUGAAGGAAAACUCUGUGCUGAUGAAGACUUUGCCACUUGACGCUACUGGAAAGUUGUAUAAGCAUAAAUUGCUGGAUGGCAUAAAGUCUCUCCCAGGUUUGAAGCUUAAUGUUCGCAAGCUAGAACCCUUCAUGGACUACAUGGGCUUUCACCUUGGAGAAGAGGAAUUCCAAGACCUGACAGACAGCCUGCCCGUGGAUAAGGAAGGAAUGGUUAAUAUGAAUGUGGUAAUGGAUGCAGGAGAUCUUUUUACAGGUGAGAAGGUUGCCACUAGUAACCUGGAAGAUUUCCUGGAAACUAUGGGGAUAAGCCUCACCGAGGAUAAAGCCAAGAAACUACGGCAUAAUCUGCCAGCUGAUGCCAAAGGAAGUGUGUAUAAGAACAGAUUGAUGAAAGCCCUGGAGAGUCUCAAAGGGACAAAGGUGUCUUCAGAUAAGGCGGAAAUUUUUAUUAAAAAUGCAGGAAUUGAUCUCAAGAAGAAAGAAAUCCAAGCACUGAAGGACCAUCUGCUAGUUGACGAUAAUGGGAAGGUUGAUUUGAAUGUGUUGAUGGCUGAAAUUAAAAAGAUUACAGGAGAAAAGUUUCAUGCUGGGGACCUGAAAAAUGUUUUGGGCAACAUGGGAAUACACAUCACAGACAAAGAGCACAAAAAGCUGCUGAAAACUCUGCCCAUUUCUGCUAAUAAAAAGGUGUUUAAGAAAGACCUCCUGAAUGGGAUGAAGUCCUUCAAAAGAGGAAAGGUCAAUAUCCGUGACUUAAAAAAUGUGUUACAAAACACUGGCUUCACACUUGAAGAAACAGAAAUCAAAGACCUGCAGGCUCACCUACCAGCUAAUGAAUAUGAAAAGGUUGACUUGGAUGUGCUGAUGGAUGAAGCAAAAGCUUUCACAGGAGAAAAGGUUGCAGCCACGAACCUAAAACAUGUGCUGGAAGACAUGGGAAUCAGACUCACUGCAGAAGAAUAUUCGAGGCUGUUGAAAACUCUGCCCAUCUCUAGAGAUGGAAUGGUGUAUAAGAAAAGAUUACUGGAUGGUGUGAAGGCUCUCAAAGGGAAAAAAGUCUAUGUUCAUGAGCUAGAAACACUUAUGGAGAGCUUGGAACUUGAACUUGGAAAAGGGGAUUAUGAAGACCUACUCAGCUAUCUGCCAGUUGAUGAGAAUGAAAUGGUUGAUUUAAAUGAGGUGAUGGAUGAAGCAAACACUUUUACAGGAGAGAAGGUUGAUGUUGGUGACCUGGACAAGGUCCUGUGGAAAAUGGGGCUUACACUCAGUGAUGGGGAACAGAAGAAGCUGCUCCGAGCUCUCUCCCCGUACACCGACAGGAAGGUGUAUAAGAAGAGGGUGCUGCAGAGUGUGAAGGGCCUCCAUGGACCACGGGUCAAAGUAAAAAAAGUGGAAUCUCUUUUGGAAAAUAUGGGAAUUAAAAUUACAGACGAAGAACUUGAGGAAGUAAUGACCCAACUACCAACUGACAGUGAUAGAACUGUCGCUCUGAAGGAUCUAAUAGACACGGUCAGUUAUGUCAAGGGAGAGGUGAUUGAUACCGAGAACUUAGUCAACUUUCCAGCAAGAGAGGGGAUUGAACUCACAGAAGAAGAAAUAAAGGACCUGAUGCCUCAUUUGACAUAUAAUGGAAAAGGAAAAGUUACUGUGGAUUCAGUAAUGGAGGGUCUGAAGAAGAUUACACACCCAGUCACUGGCCACAUGGCAGUUUCAGAACUCAAAUCAAAACUUAAACUGAACCCUCUAAAAGUACCUGUCUUCCACAGCAAGAGGGAUAAAGAUCUACCGAGGUCCCUUCCAGGCCAGCCACACCACAAAGAAAAGUUGAGCCCACCACAAAUGGAAGCCUUCCAAGACGCCUACAACUUCUUCAGCAAGGACAAAACUGGAUGUAUUGAUCUGAAUGGGAUGAUGAGUACUUUGGCUAAGUUAGGAAUGAGUCUAACCAAGCACGAUGUCUAUAAUGAACUAAAAUGUGCUGACCUUGAUCGAGAUGGGAAGGUGAACUUCUCAGACUUCUUAAAGGUGCUGACAGAUAAGAACCGCUUCCUCAAAGCUGUGGUUCCGGAAAAGGACAUCUGUUUAAAUUUAAGUGACAACGCAGGGAUCCUAUUAUUUGAAAUCCUAUCAAAGCUUAUAGAGACUUCAGCCCUACCCAGAAAGACUAUAAUGGACAUAGUAAGCUACUUCCGAAGAAAAUUCCAGGAUAUCAGUGCAGAAAUGCUGUGGAAUCCGAGUGCUGUGGGUUAUGGGAAAAGAAGGUUUAAGCCAGAUGUGUGCACGACUUCCAGCUCAAGCACAGCGGCCUUCGCCAGUGCUGCCCGCAUUGCAAUUACAAGUGAAAAGGAUUUAUUUAAAUUUCUUGAAGAGCUUAAGAGGUGCAAUUUCCCUUCAGACAGCCCGUACUCGAAAAUACCCAUCUUCCCGUUGUUCCCUAACAUGGAUGGUAUGGUGAUGGGAAAACCUUUCAAAGACACACAGAAAUUAGAGAUGCUAAGGAGAAAAGAGCCCCUGAAUUUCUUUGAGGACUACUUUUUCCAUAGAAGAGACUGGAAAGCACAGGCAGCCAAUGUAAAGCCUAUCAACCCUCCCUUGAGCUACUCGGAUGACAUCCUUAUCCUCGACCAAAUACUCAAGAAAAAGCAGAUGUGGACAGUGGCCGACACAGCUGCUGUUAAGCAGCAGGUGAAGAGAGCUACAGACACCUAUCAUUUAGGAAUUGCCCUUGAACACCAGAAAGGAAUGCUCAAUCUCUGGCAGAAGAUCCGAGGGGAUUUGAUUGGAAUAGACACUAAAAAUGAGUCUUUCUAUGACACCUUUUCUACUUAUACCUGGUCCUGGAACGUUUGCCAAGAAUUGCUCUCUCCGAAGGACUUACGGUUGUUUAAUGCUUACGUGAACAGAAAUUCCUACCCCACCUAUGGCUUCUCUUCCUCAUCAGAUAACAGUGAAUGUGACUCCGAGACCGAAAGGAAAAGAAAACGGAAAAAUUGCAAAGGGUUUCGACAAUGAAAUUUCUACAUUUUCUAAACAGCUCAUCGAAAACUACUUUUUCAUAAGUAUCAAAAUUAUGGUUUCUUGCUUUUCUCUAGUACAUUCUUAGCAGCUGGAAAUGUUGACAUCUUUUGGAUUCCAGCCAGUAAAACAGCUUAACUCAUAAAAUGGUUUCGUUUUCCUAAAUCUUGACAAGUCGGCAGACGUCAUGCGGUUAGUUCCAGCUGUAUUCUGCUGCCCCCGCCUGGCAUAAAAGUGACAGGCCUCAGCAGGAAAGGGAGAAAUCACGCCCUCUGAGACCCUAAGGGAUAAACAGUUGAGCUUUGGGUGACUGUAAGUGAAAUUCAGUUUUCAAAUGCUGUGAAAUAAGCCAGAGGCAGCAGAUGACUAUAAACUUGCCAUUUCGGGGGGUGAUAUCACCAACCCCGCCCCAGGAACCUUGUUUAAAUGUGGGCGUAUUCCUGAGGCUCCACAGCCAUACACCUCCACACCUAUUGCAUGGAUUUCUCUUACAAAUAGUCGAUCUCAUCCAUUAAAUGUUGUUAUUCUUUAAUGAAUCUAAUAUAUAUAUAUAUGAUAUAAAUAUAUCAUAUAUAUGGCAAGUUUGUGCUAGGAUUGUAAUUUUUACUAUGGUAAAAUUUACAUGACAUAAAAUUUACUAUUUUUUAAAUUUUUAUUAUAAUUUACUAUUGAUUAAUGUUAAAGUAUACAUCAAUCAUUGCAUUUUUAUUCUUCCUAGUCCCACUCCUGGGAUUCAUAGGGCAUUUUUCCAUGGGUCUUGAGGGUUGAUCACACAGAAACAGACAACUUUUGGACUUUACCAAAUUUUUUAAUUGUUUAAUUUAAUUAGUAUAAUUUAGAUAUCUACAGUGACCCCAUUCAUCAUAGGGAAUUUGCACCUGUACAUAAUAUACCUUGAUUUGUCUUUUUCCCCUCCCUUCAACCCCUUGUCCCCUCCUUAUUUACAAAGCUUUGUUUCCAUUUUAUCCUCCUUUUCUCAGAUUUUCUUCCCCCUUUCCCCUUCCCCAGUUCCCUUCCCUUUUGGGCAGCUGCUUCCCAUUUCACCAGAUCUCUUGUACAAUUUAGUUCUUAUUUACACUUUUGGUUUCUCACACCAGUGAGGCAAUGCAAUAUUUACACACGUGUAUACAAUUUAUUUCACUUAAGAGCACAGUCUCAGGGCCCAUCCAUUUAGCAAUAAAUGUCACAAGUUUAUCCUUCAUUAUGGCAGAGUAGUAGUCCAUUUUAUUUUAAAAAAAAAAACAUCUUUUUUAUCCAUUCCUCAGUUGACGGGCAUCUGAGUUGUUUCCAAGAUUUAGCUAUUACAAAUUGUGCUGCUAUAAACAUGGGUGUGCUUGUAUCAUUGUGGUAUGAUGCUUUUAAUUCUUUUGGGAAAAUACCCAGAAGAAGAAUAGCUGGUGAAAUGGGGCCUCUAGUCUUAGUUUUUGAGGAAUCUCCACACUGAUUUCCACAGUGGCUGCAGAAGUCUACACCCCAACAAAGUAGAGAAGGGUUCCCUUUUCCCCACAGCCCAGCCAGCAUUUGUUGUGGGUUGAUUUCAUAAUAGUCGUUCUUUCUGGAGUGAGAUGGAAUCUCAGGGUUGUUUUAAUUUGCAGCUCUUGAAUGAUCAAUGAUCCCACACUAAAUCUUAUAUUAACCUUCUGAUCUACUAUCAGAAAGUCAAAUAUGUGUUAUUUCCUCUGCUAGUUUUGAUCUUAAAAAUGUAAGGAAUUACAUCAACUGUGGUUCUGGGGGGGAGUUUUAGGGGGGUACCAGGAACCGAACUCAGGACCUCACUCUUGCCAGGCAGGAGCUGAACAUCAACUAUUUGUAACAAUUAUCCAAGCGACUAGUUUGCAGGUGUGUGGGUAAGGCCAUUCCAAUUACCAUCUAGAAUAAAUAUUUUUAAAUCAUUAUUCUAGAAAAACAUGAUGCACGAAAAAGAAAAGGAACCAGGUGUGGUGGCACAUGCCUGAAAUCCAAGCUCCUGGCAGACUGAGGCAGAAGGAUCACCAUGAGUUUGGGACCGGCAUGGGCUCCAUAGUGAGCUCAAGGCCAGCCUGCACUGCAUAAAGCAAGAUUCUGUCUCAAAAAAUCAAAAAAAAAAAAAAAAUCAAGAAGAUAUUGAUAAUGACAGAUUACAACACAAAAGUAUAAAAUUCCAGGAAAAAGCAAUGAAGUUAACGCCCCCAAAACUCUUCACUGAAAUAGGUUUCAUGUGACUUUGUGCUACCCCGAACCCUCAGAAGUGUCUAACUACACCUGCGAGCCGAGCACAGUGCCACGUCUGUAGCCCCAGCUACUCGGAAGGCUGUGGCAGGGUAACGCGAGCCCAGCAUGAGCAAAACACAAAAACUACAUCUCCAAAACUAAAUACACACACACACACACACACACACACACACACACACACACGCAACACCAACUUCUGUGUAAAGUUCUAAUUCUUGGGAAAAGAACUAACCUUAUAGAGAAGUAACCACAUCUUUUGACCAAAAAAGUUAAUGGUUUGACAAGAGACUUUCUUGAGUUGCUGUGGGUAUGACAGAAUCCAGGACCUAUAAUUUGGAUGCCAAAAUAUUAGAAUUACUGGACUAUUUCCUUAGAUCGAUGAAUGACAGGACAAAACACUGGGGUUUUUUGCAAUGUUUUAUUGUGUUUUGUUUUAUUUUGUUUUUUGAGAUAGGGUCUUGCUGUGUAGUUGAAGCUGGCCUUGAGCUCACUGUGUAAUCCAAGCUGGCCUCAAACUCAUGGCAAUCCUUCUGCCUCAGCCUUCCAAGUGCUAGGAUUACAAGCAUGUAAUAGUGUUAAGUAGAUCUGUCCUAGAAAAUUAAAACUUAUACCAACUCUUACUAUUACAAUGUCACACACUGCAAAUGACAGUAUAAACUGGCACCUCUGAUGGAAUACAGUGUAGGAACAGGGCCUGGCAUGGUGGCACACCCCUGUAAUCCUAGCAUUCUGGGAAGCUGAGGCAG
ensembl:lincRNA